rnacentral:rRNA from 1 species
UGGGGAAUUUUGGACAAUGGGGGAAACCCUGAUCCAGCCAUGCCGCGUGCGGGAAGAAGGCCUUCGGGUUGUAAACCGCUUUUGGCAGGAACGAAACGGCGCGCACUAACACUGCGCGCUAAUGACGGUACCUGCAGAAUAAGCACCGGCUAACUACGUGCCAGCAGCCGCGGUAAUACGUAGGGUGCAAGCGUUAAUCGGAAUUACUGGGCGUAAAGCGUACGCAGGCGGCUGUGCAAGACAGGUGUGAAAUCCCCGGGCCCAACCUGGGAACUGCACUUGUGACUGCAUAGCUAGAGUCCGUUAGAGGGGGGUGGAAUUCCACGUGUAGCAGUGAAAUGCGUAGAGAUGUGGAGGAACACCGAUGGCGAAGGCAGCCCCCUGGGAUGAGACUGACGCUCAUGUACGAAAGCGUGGGGAGCAAACAGG